CUAUUUUUCCAAUGUACCUGGACGCGCAGGCAACGCUGCAAAUGACGUCGUAUAGCGGCCUGUCACGAUUCGGCGAAUCGGAGCGCCACGAUGCGGCCAUCCGAUAUAUGCGAGGGAAAUUUAAUGGAAAUGCAUUGGAACGGGACUGGAGAUUUUGUCCGAAAUAGGCGAAAUCCGUUAUAAAAAAUCCGAUAUAUGCAAUGAAUUUUUAUUGGAAAUGCAUUACAGAAAAAUUGGUUCUUUUUUAUCUGUCCGUUGUGAGCGAAUUUCCGAUAUAACCCAGUCCGAUAUAUCCGAGGUUGUAGUAUCCAAAAUACAAAAAUACAAACAACCAAGAACAGAGGCUAAUUUGCAUGUGAUUUUCCACUCACAGCGACAGGUCUUCACCGCUGCGCCUUGUGGGGAUUAGUUAGAGCACCAAUAUAAACGUAAUCUUCAAGAUGUAACACGAAAUAAACAUUCAAACUUACUUAUUUGCUGAUAUGAUGCACAUAGAACAAUGAACAACUUGAAGCGUUGUCUUCUUCCUGCUCCGGUCUCCUCGCGCCGUGAGGCGUUCAGGUACACUCGUAUUUGUCAGAGUUAGGCGCUAAUUGUUUUUAUUUUUUUCUUGACGUAUGUACUUUUGGAACCUAGGUAGGAAACUGUUUCAAAUGCAUAAUGAAUGUUUCAAAUGAUGAAUGAAAGAGACGAAUUAAUAUUUAAGGUUACUUUUACAUUAAUUGAAGACUCUUUGUGAGGCUGUUCUCAAAGACACCACCGGCCGCGAGACACCACAUGAACAUCACCUCAGUAACCCAAAAUGGCUGCCAGCAUUUUUAUAAAAAAGGUGAAAACACUAUUGAACGAAAAAAAAACCAGGAAGAUGGUGUCAGUGUGGUGUCUUACUACCACAUCAUGCCUGUGGGAACAGUCACAUCUUCACAGUCGGGAAAAAGACUGUGGUAAUGAGCAUGUUGACCUGCUCCUCCAACCGUCCUGCUUCUUGGAUCCGGGUCUCUUCGGUGGAACUCAGCAGGUGCGUCUUUCUCAAGUGUAGCAACAAGCCCUCCAGAAAGGAGGUACUAGUGAAGCGUCGCAAAUGGUCUUGGCCUCUCACCUGGUGGUUGUGUCAUGGAGGAUGGGAAGCAGGAAGUGGACUGAAGAUCCACAUAGCAAUCACCCUGCCAAGUUAUGGCUUUGCUUCUGUCCAGGAUGGAAUCAUAAUGAGCGUUCCUCUCCAUGAUAAGCGUUUCUGCAAGAGGUCACAAAGAAGUGCUCAAACACCUGAGCAUCACGUAUCCAUGCUUUACAUGACGUAUGCACUACCAAUUUUUAUUUACCAAUUUUUUGUUUUAUUAUGCUAUUUAGUUCAUAUUUUUUAAAUUAUUUUCUUAAAAUUAUUUUAUCAUCAGUAUUGUUACAAUUUUCGAUACAUUUUUAAAUAUAGUCUCUUUCCAGAGUGUAAAAACCAAGUUAAACACUGUUAAAUAAAACUAAAAUAAAGUAAAACUACAACUAACUCAGCUGACAGACAUGUGAUGUGUAUUGCCACUUAUAAAAUAAGUUUUUGUUCUGAUUUAUUAGUUAAAUGUACUUGUGUAAUUAUUAGUUCAUGUUUUGCUUAUAUUGUACUAUGUCGCAGCAGUUUCAA